UUGGUGCCGAAGCAACCGGCUGAAAUGGUUCAGGCAGCCGGUUGCUUUCUCUUUUUUUUCUUUUUUUGUUAUAUUUUUCUGCACAUCAGGUCUUAUUUUUCAUGGCGCCCCUUUUCGAAAUCCCCUCCCUCUCUCUCUCUUCUCUUCUCUUCUCUAACCUAAAACAUCGUUUCUGUCUCUCCAAAAAACCAACCCCCUCUUCUGCAAACUUAGUCUCUCUCUCUCUCCCCAAACCUCAACCCCCAACCCCUCCUUUGCAAAUCUCGUCUCUCUCAGAGCCCAAACCCCUCUUCUGCAAACCUCACACCCCUCUUUGUAACCCACCCAAAUAACGAUCAUAUCUCUCUCUCUCUAAAAACCCAUACCUCUCCUUCCCCCCGCAAACCUCUCACCUUUCUCUCUCUAACCCACUUGACACUGCUCUCUCACCUGUCUCUCUCUGAUAUAUUCCGGUAUUUUGCAGUUAGAGGGCUUCUUCUUGAGUACACAGAGAAAAUGCCGACUUUUUCAGAGACAGCAAGUGCUUUUAGAAAUAGGUUCGGGUUUCAGGAAGCGCCUGUGCCCUCAUCAGAGGUCAAAUGUUCACCUGCUUUGGCGAAAUCUGCUUCAAAAGAGUCGCUAGUUCAACCAAUUUGUAGCAUUAGAUAGAGGGAGAGCCAUGAUGGUGGAUCUGAGGUUCAAGAGAUCCAUCUUUCUGGAAAGGCCACAAUGUUCAGGUGGUGAUUCUUAUCAGGUCUUCAAGUAGUUCUGAGAUUCCUCUUCACAGCUACAACAGAUGUAUUGAAUAGCACAGUGUCCAAUCUCUUAUUUGGAUUGGACAUCCUGAGACUUGUUUUAGUUAUAACCUUGUAACCGAUGAGUUUGUUAGCCAGGUAACAUGCUUACUCUGUUUCCCUUUCUCUAACAUUUGCAUGCAUGUUGGUCUCAGUUGCCACAUACAUGGAACGAAUUCGUUGAAUGAAAGGAGAGCCUAUUCAAAGUGGCUAGGUUUCCAAUGGUGGAGAAUUGCAUGUGGAUACAACAGUUGCAUGUUUGCUUAUGGCCAACUAAAGAAGAAAGAAGGCCCGUCUCAUGAAGUAAUGGAUAAAGGGGCUCGCUGCAUUGCUCGCUGCAUUUUAAGACUGGGAGAGA